UUCAAAUACCUAAAAAUGGUCAUUAAAGAAACUUUCAGACUGCAUCCUCCACUACCUCUUUUGCUUCCAAGAGAAUGUAGAGAAGAAAUAGACUUAAAUGGAUACACUAUUCCAUUGAAAACAAAAGUCGUGGUUAAUGCUUGGGCAAUGGGAAGAGAUCCAAAAUAUUGGGAUGACGUAGAAAGUUUUAAACCCGAGAGAUUUGAACACAACUCUAUGGAUUAUAUUGGUAAUAAUUAUGAAUAUCUUCCCUUUGGUAGCGGAAGGAGAAUUUGCCCUGGAAUUUCAUUUGGUCUAGCAAAUGUUUAUUUUCCACUGGCUCAACUGUUGAAUCACUUUGACUGGAAACUCCCAACUGGAAUCAAUCCAAGUGAACUGGACUUGACCGAGGCGGCUGGAGUAGCUUGUGCUACAAAAAAUGACCUACACUUGAUCGCUACUCCUUAUCAACAUUGUCAAGAGUGAUCUCAUGGCGUCAAACCUUUUCUUAAAAGAAGAAUCUUGCAAUUGAAUUUCGUUGUCAACCCCACCAUUGUACUUUCUUCCUUUGCUGUUUUGGUAUUUACCUAUUUCUAAUAUUUUGUGUCUUCUUUCAUAUAGAAAUAUGCCACUAUAGUUUUCGACACAAGCUGUCUAAUAAGAUUUUCUGUUGUUUUUAUAUAUUGGAAUAGAAUAUACUUACAUCCUUGUAUUAUGAAGAGGAGAUCAAUUGAUGGUGUCAUCAUAUUCUAUUUGUAUACUUUUGAUCUUUUGGGCUAUGUGAGAUUUUAAGGUGGUGAAUCUAUUCCUUGUGAGGUAGGAUUUUAUUUACCUGUUUACUUGUAUAAUAUGAAUUCCUUAU
rnacentral:lncRNA from 1 species